AUUGAACGCUGGCGGCAUGCCUUACACAUGCAAGUCGAACGGUAACAGGUCUUCGGAUGCUGACGAGUGGCGAACGGGUGAGUAAUACAUCGGAACGUGCCUAGUAGUGGGGGAUAACUACUCGAAAGAGUGGCUAAUACCGCAUGAGAUCUACGGAUGAAAGCAGGGGAUCGCAGGACCUCGUGCUACUAGAGCGGCGGAUGGCAGAUUAGGUAGUGGGUGGGAUAAAAGCUUACCAAGCCGACGAUCUGUAGGUGGUCUGAGAGGACGAUCAGCCACACUGGGACUGAGACACGGCCCAGACUCCUACGGGAGGCAGCAGUGGGGAAUUUUGGACAAUGGGCGAAAGCCUGCUCCAGCAAUGCCGCGUGCAGGAUGAAGGCCUUCGGGUUGUAAACUGCUUUUGUACGGAACGAAAAGCCCCGGGUUAAUACCCUGGGGUCAUGACGGUACCGUAAGAAUAAGCACCGGCUAACUACGUGCCAGCCGCCGCGGUAA
rnacentral:rRNA from 1 species